rnacentral:rRNA from 1 species
GGCUCAGGACGAACGCUGGCGGCGUGCUUAACACAUGCAAGUCGAACGAUGAAGCACCAGCUUGCUGGUGUGGAUUAGUGGCGAACGGGUGAGUAACACGUGAGUAACCUGCCCCUCACUCUGGGAUAAGCCUGGGAAACUGGGUCUAAUACUGGAUACGACCGAUCUCCGCAUGGAGUGUUGGUGGAAAGUUUUUGUGGUGGGGGAUGGACUCGCGGCCUAUCAGCUUGUUGGUGGGGUAAUGGCCUACCAAGGCGACGACGGGUAGCCGGCCUGAGAGGGCGACCGGCCACACUGGGACUGAGACACGGCCCAGACUCCUACGGGAGGCAGCAGUGGGGAAUAUUGCACAAUGGGCGAAAGCCUGAUGCAGCGACGCCGCGUGAGGGAUGACGGCCUUCGGGUUGUAAACCUCUUUCACCAGGGACGAAGCUAACGUGACGGUACCUGGAGAAGAAGCACCGGCUAACUACGUGCCAGCAGCCGCGGUAAUACGUAGGGUGCGAGCGUUGUCCGGAAUUAUUGGGCGUAAAGAGCUUGUAGGCGGUCUGUCGCGUCUGCUGUGAAAGACCGGGGCUUAACUCCGGUUCUGCAGUGGGUACGGGCAGACUAGAGUGUGGUAGGGGAGACUGGAAUUCCUGGUGUAGCGGUGAAAUGCGCAGAUAUCAGGAGGAACACCGAUGGCGAAGGCAGGUCUCUGGGCCAUUACUGACGCUGAGAAGCGAAAGCAUGGGGAGCGAACAGGAUUAGAUACCCUGGUAGUCCAUGCCGUAAACGUUGGGCGCUAGGUGUGGGACUCAUUCCACGAGUUCCGUGCCGCAGCUAACGCAUUAAGCGCCCCGCCUGGGGAGUACGGCCGCAAGGCUAAAACUCAAAGGAAUUGACGGGGGCCCGCACAAGCGGCGGAGCAUGCGGAUUAAUUCGAUGCAACGCGAAGAACCUUACCAAGGCUUGACAUACACCGGAAUCAUGCAGAGAUGUGUGCGUCUUCGGACUGGUGUACAGGUGGUGCAUGGUUGUCGUCAGCUCGUGUCGUGAGAUGUUGGGUUAAGUCCCGCAACGAGCGCAACCCUCGUUCCAUGUUGCCAGCACUUC